rnacentral:rRNA from 1 species
UUUCAAAACUGCAUCCCUUGAGUAUCGGAGAGGCAAGCGGAAUUCCUAGUGUAGCGGUGAAAUGCGUAGAUAUUAGGAGGAACACCAGUGGCGAAGGCGGCUUGCUGGACGACAACUGACGCUGAGGCGCGAAAGCGUGGGGAGCAAACAGGAUUAGAUACCCUGGUAGUCCACGCUGUAAACGAUGAAUACUAGGUGUGGGAGGACUGACCCCUUCCGUGCCGCAGUUAACACAAUAAGUAUUCCACCUGGGGAGUACGACCGCAAGGUUGAAACUCAAAGGAAUUGACGGGGGCCCGCACAAGCAGUGGAUUAUGUGGUUUAAUUCGACGCAACGCGAAGAACCUUACCAGGAUUUGACAUCCAACUAACGAAGCAGAGAUGCAUUAGGUGCCCUUCGGGGAAAGUUGAGACAGGUGGUGCAUGGUUGUCGUCAGCUCGUGUCGUGAGAUGUUGGGUUAAGUCCCGCAACGAGCGCAACCCCUAUUGUUAGUUGCUACGCAAGAGCACUCUAGCGAGACUGCCGUUGACAAAACGGAGGGAAGGCGGGGACGACGUCAAAUCAUCAUGCCCCUUAUGUCCUGGGCUACACACGUAAUACAAUGGCCGUCAACAAAGGGAAGCGAAACCGCGAGGUGGAGCAAACCCCCAAAAACGGUCUCAGUUCGGAUUGCAGGCUGCAACUCGCCUGCAUGAAGCUGGAAUUGCUAGUAAUCGUGAUCAGCAUGCCACGGUGAAUACGUUCCCGGGUCUUGUACACAC